UGUGGCUGCAGCUGCGCUAUUCUUCUCUACUCGGCUUUGUGGGACCCCCUUCCCUUUGUAGGAGCUGUGACCCAUCUGUAACGGGGGUAUCCCCUGGUCCCCCACUGGGUCCUUUAGUUUCCUGUUGCCGCAGCACUCGCCGGCCGUUUCUGCAGCUCCGGAUGCGUGCCCUCGGCCUUGUGCGCCAUUUAUACGGGGGGGACACUGAGGCUCGGAGUGCGAGUCAGCUGAGAUCACCUCUUCCCAAGCAGGAGAAACCGCGUGGCCCGCACCGGUCGCCAGCCUCUCAGUAUUGGCCGCUUUUGUCCACAGAGUCCCGGGAUGGCGGCGGAGCUGAGGCACCGGGCGCAGGGUAUCCUGUUCUAAAACCAGAGCUGACCUAUGAUCUGAAGCUUGGGCAGGAGCUAUGGGCCAUGAAGAAAGACCUUUCCCAAAGCACCUGUCCAGGGGACAAAGCAAAACUUGAGUCCACAGAGCCAACUGCACCUGAGCCAGUGUUGUCUGAUGGAGCCUCAGUCCAGGCACAGCUGACACCGGGAGCCUCCAGGGACUCUCAGCUUAGGCGAGAGAAGGAUCAGGAGGGGCCACCAGAAGUGCAGGACCAACACUUGCAACCAGGGGUAGACCCCCAGAAGGAGCAGCUCCCCGGGAAAAUGAGCCCUGAACAUGAUGGUUUUGGGACAGAUGAUGGUGCAUGUUCAAGGAUUCUGCAGGAGCGAGUCUCUCCACAAGUUGCUGUCCAUGACGGUGACUCACAUGGACCAGAUAAAGAUGCCAUGACUCACAAAGAGAGACAUCCCUAUGUAUGCAACGAAUGCGGGAAAGUGUUUAACAGGAAACAUCUCCUUGUUCAACAUGAGCGGAUUCACUCUGGAACAAAGCCCUAUGAGUGCACAGAGUGUGGGAAAACUUUUAGCAAGAGCACAAACCUCCUUCAGCACCACGUCAUCCACACUGGGGAGAAGCCCUAUGAGUGCACAGAGUGUGGGAAGGCCUUCAGCUUCAGGUCACACCUUACACGGCACCAACAGUUUCACACUAGGGAGAAGCCCUAUGUGUGCACAGAGUGUGGGAAGGCCUUCAGCCACAGGUCACACCUUGCACAGCACCAGCGAAGUCACACUGGGCAGAAGCCCUAUAAGUGCACAGAGUGUGGAAAGACCUUCAGCCGAAGUUCAUACUUUACACGGCAUCAGUGGAUUCACACAGAGGAGAAGUCCAAUAAAUGCAUCGAGUGUGGGAAGGCCUUUAGCCGCAGGUCACACCUUGCACGGCACCAGCGGAUUCACACUGAGGAGAAACCCUAUGUGUGUACAGAGUGUGGGAAGACCUUCACCCAAAGCGCACACCUUGCACAGCACCAGCGGAUUCACACUGGGGAGAAGCCCUAUGAGUGCAGUGAGUGUGGAAAGACCUUCGCCCAUCUCUCCACUUUUGUCUUGCAUAAGAGGAGCCACACAGGAGAAAAACCCUUUGAGUGCAAGGAGUGUGGGAAAGCCUUUCGUGAUCGGCCAGCUUUCAUUCGACACUACAGCAUUCACACUGGGGACAAGCCCUAUGAGUGCAUUGAAUGUGGAAAGGCCUUCAACCGCAAGUCACACCUCACACAACACCAAAGAAUUCAUACUGGGAGAAGCCCUAAAAAUCCCUAUAAAUGCAAGGAAUGUGGGAAAGUGUUUAACAAGAACUGCCUCCUUGUUCGACAUGAGCGAAUUCACUCCGGGGUGAAGCUUUAUAAGUGCAUUAAGUGUGGGAAGGCCUUCAGCCGCAGGUCACAACUUACUCGGCACCACCAGAUUCACACUGGGGAGAAGCCCUAUGAUUGCACAGAGUGUGGGAAGGCCUUCAAACGCAGGUCACACCUUGCACAGCACCAGCGGAUUCACACUGGGGAGAAGCCCUAUGAGUGCAGUGAGUGUGGGAAGGCCUUCAACAACAGGUCACACCUUGCACAACACCAGCGGAUUCACACUGGUGAGAAGCCCUAUGAGUGCACAGUAUGUGGGAAGGCCUUCAACAACAGGUCACACCUAGCGCAGCACCAACGGAUUCACACUGAGGAGAAACCCUAUAAGUGCAGUGAGUGCGGGAAGGCCUUCAACCAAAGGGCACACCUUAUGCAGCACCAGCGGAUUCACACUGGGGAGAAGCCCUAUGAGUGCACAAAGUGCGGGAAGGCCUUCAGCCUUAGGUCACACCUUGCACAGCACCAGCGGAUUCACACUGGGGAGAAGCCCUAUGAUUGUAGUGAGUGUGGGAAGGCCUUCAAAAACAGGUCACACCUUGUACAGCACCAGCGGAUUCACACUGAGGAGAAGCCGUAUGAGUGUAGUGAAUGUGGGAAGGCCUUCAACCAAAGGGCACACCUUACGCAGCACCAGCGGAUUCACACUGGGGAGAAGCCCUAUGAGUGCAGUGAAUGUGGAAAGGCCUUUACCCACCGCUCCACUUUUGUCUUGCAUAAGAAGAGCCAUACAGGAGAAAAACCUUUUGCAUGCAAGGAGUGUGGGAAAGCAUUUCGUGAUCAGCCAGGCUUCAUUCGACACUCCAUCAUCCAUUCAUGAGAGAAGCCCUGUGAGUGCAUAGAGUGUGGGAAAGCUUACAGCCAAAGCACCAACCUCAUUUGACACACCAUCAUUCACACUGGAAAGAAGUUCUGUUAGUGCAGUGAAUGUGGGAAGUCCUUCAGCUGCAGUGGACCAGGUAAAGAUCCUUCAGUUCACAAAGAGAAAAAUCCUUAUAAAUGCAAGGAAUGCGGGAAAGUGUUUAACAGGAACUGCCUCCUUACUCAACAUGAGCGGAUUCACUCUGGCGUGAAGCCCUAUGAGUGCAGAGAGUGUGGGAAAACUUUUAGCAAAAGCACACACCUCCUUCAGCACCAUGUUAUUCACACCGGGGACAAGCCCUUCGAGUGUACAGAGUGUGGGAAGGCAUUCAACCGCAGGUCACACCUUACUCGGCACCGGCGGAUUCACACUGGGGAGAAGCCCUAUGAGUGCAGUGAGUGUGGGAAGACCUUCACCCACCGCUCCACUUUUGUCUUGCAUAAGAGGAGCCACACUGGAGAAAAACCGUUUGUGUGCAAAGAGUGUGGGAAAGCCUUUCGUGAUAGGCCAGGCUUCAUUCGACACUACAUCAUCCACACGGGUGAGAAGCCCUAUGAGUGCAUUGAGUGUGGGAAGGCCUUCAACCGCAGGUCAUACCUGACAUGGCAUCAGCAGAUUCACACUGGAGUGAAACCCUUUGAAUGCAACGAAUGUGGGAAAGCUUUCUGCGAGAGUGCAGACCUCAUUCAACACUACAUCAUUCAUACUGGGGAGAAGCCCUAUAAGUGCAUGGAGUGUGGGAAGGCCUUCAACCGCAGGUCACACCUCAAGCAGCACCAGCGGAUUCACACUGGGGAGAAGCCCUAUGCAUGCAGUGAAUGUGGAAAGGCCUUCACCCACUACUCCACUUUUGUCUUGCAUAAAAGGGCCCACACUGGGGAAAAACCUUUUGAGUGCAAAGAGUGUGGGAAAGCCUUCAGUGAUAGGGCAGACCUCAUUCGUCACUACAGCAUCCACACUGGGGAAAAGCCCUAUGAGUGCAUUGAGUGUGGGAAGGCCUUCAACCGCAGGUCACACCUUACGAGGCAUCAGCGUAUUCACACGGGGGAGAAACCCUAUGAGUGCAUUGAGUGCGGGAAAGCCUUUUGCCGGAGCACCAAUCUCAUUCGACAUGCCAUCAUCCACACUGGGGAGAAGCCCUAUGAGUGCAGUGAAUGUGGGAAGGCCUUCAGUCGCAGCUCAUCCCUCACUCAGCACCAAAGGAUUCAUACUGGGAGAAGUCCUAUCAGUGUAACAGAUGUGGACAGACCUUUCACAAGUGGGAAAACCUCAGUCAGCAUCCAAGAACUAUUGGAGAAGGACUUUUUGAAUGUAACCACUGAGGAAAAUCUUUGGCCAAAGGAACCAUCUUACUCAGUAUCUGAUUGUUCAUAACAAAGGGAAAGCCCACAAGAGUCAUCCAUAUGAGGAGGCGUUCCGUGGCAGAUCAUCUAAAGAGAAAUUUUAGAAAUUAACCCACCUAGAGUCUGACUCUACAUCUGAGAAUUUAUCUAAUAGAGAGACACAGUGGUUAUUGUGCACUUAGGAAAACCUUCAGCCACAUCUCUCUCCUUAGUUUACAAUGCAGAAUUAUCUCAGGAAUAUUUUUAAAGAGGAGGAGGUAUGGAAGAACAAAGAAACAAAUGGUAAUAAAUCCUUGUUUGGGAAGAAGGGAAUGUGGUUUCAGAGGUAAAAGGAUCUCAUCUCUUAUUUGUCUUGUGCUUUCCAUUGUCAGGAGAGUUAGACCAUUGAGGGCAGGGCUAGAAACGUUUACUGAACACCUCCUUUGUUCCACAACAUCAUGUUUACCCUUGAGCAUACGUCUUUAAAUGAAGGCUUGAGCUGUGAAAUACUUUCAUAUUUAAGGAUCUAAGGAUAUACAUACGAAUUGGUACAUUUUACUGCACCACUUAAGUCCUUAAAGUCUUUGAUUUAAAGAAAAAAGUUUCCUCAUGUGUAUUUAACCUCCCAACACUCAUACUUUUUCUUGAUCCCAAUCUAAUUGUUUUGUUUUUGUUUAUUCUCCUUUAUUCUCUCUGGAGUAUGAAUAUGAUAGCUGCGUGACCUUCCCAGCUGAGUCUUAAUUCUUCUCAGUGGGGUUUCUCAGCUUUAUUCUCCAUAGACAGGCUUCUCCGUGUCCACUUCAAUAGUUUGGAAUUGAAUUAGCACUAAAACCAAAUAAAACACAUAGCUAAAUUAAAGGAUCAUGAUAAACUCGGGAAAAGAAAAAAAACAUGGAGAAAGCAGCUUAUUUUUAAUCUUAUGAAAGAUUGUUGAAGACUUGCUCUAAGUGGUGGGAAUUUCCACAGGCAAACCAGCUUGUGUACAUGCAGGUAUGUGUGAGUUUCACAGUUAUCGUGCACUCAGUCAUUGAUCGCGGUAUUUUGGUAUUUCUCCUCUGGUAUUUUCUUUGAGCCUGGGUUUUGAGCUACAUGUUAUAGUAUUAUCUGACAUUAAAAAAAAAUGUUGUACAGAUAUAAAAAUAAUCUUGUACCCACUUUGAACCCUGUCAGAGCCUUUUUAAAUGACUACAUGUGUAGUCUUGCAUUACGAUUGUGAUGCAAAUCCAUUUUGUGUUGGCUUUAACACUUGUCAUUAUUGUGAAUGCAACUUUUAGGUCUUUUGGGUAUCAUGUCUGAGAACCCUUCACCAUACCCUAGGCCCCAAAGUUUGCUUUCUUCUAAAUGUUUUCUGUUUUACAUUUAAAUCUCUGAUCGUUUUUGAAUUAAUUUUUGUAUUAUGGUAUGAGGUUGAAGUUGAAUUUGCUUCUUUCUCUGUUUUUCCUUCUUUUUUUUUGCCUAUGGAUAUUCAGUUUUCUGGCACCAUUUGUUGAAAAGACUGUCCUGCCUCCAUUGAAUUGCUUUUGCCCCUUUGUCAAAAAUCAGUUGGGCAUAUUCAUGUUGGUCUAUUUCUUGGGUCUGUAUACUCUUCCAUUGAGACGUGUGUCUGAACCUCUGUCAGUACCAAGUGUCUUGAUUAUCUAGUAAAUCUUAAGAUGGGUAAUGUGACUCUGCCCUCUUUAUUCUUUUUUUAAGAUUGAUUUAACUUUCCUAGUUCCCUGGAGAAGGACAUGAUGCUUGGUAAAGUAAAGGGUCGGCAAAAGAGAGGAAGACCCCCAAUGAGAUGG